UUAUUGGAUAGCCUAUGGUGUCUGAAAGGG
rnacentral:piRNA from 1 species